rnacentral:rRNA from 1 species
CCUACGGGAGGCAGCAGUAGGGAAUAUUGCUCAAUGGGGGAAACUCUGAAGCAGCAACGCCGCGUGGAGGAUGAAGGUUUUCGGAUUGUAAACUCCUUUUGUUAGAGAAGAUAAUGACGGUAUCUAACGAAUAAGCACCGGCUAACUCCGUUCCAGCAGCCGCGGUAAGAUGGAGGCUGCAGGCGUUAUUCGGAAUCACUGGGCGUAAAGAGCGCGUAGGCGGGAUAGCAAGUGAGAUGUGAAAUCCUAGGGCUUAACCAUAGAACUGCAUUUAAAACUGGUAUUCUAGAGUUUGGGUGAGGUAGGCGGAAUGCUUGGUGUAGGGGUGAAAUCCGUAGAGAUCA